UACGUAGGGUGCAAGCGUUGUCCGGAAUUAUUGGGCGUAAAGAGCUCGUAGGCGGUCUGUCGCGUCGGAUGUGAAAAUCCAGGGCUUAACCCUGGACCUGCAUUCGAUACGGGCAGACUAGAGUUCGGUAGGGGAGACUGGAAUUCCACGUGUAGCGGUGAAAUGCGUAGAGAUGUGGAGGAACACCAGUGGCGAAGGCGACUCUUUGGCCUGUAACUGACGCUGAGGCGCGAAAGCGUGGGGAGCAAACAGG
rnacentral:rRNA from 1 species